rnacentral:rRNA from 1 species
UACGUAGGCAGCGAGCGUUGUUCGGAAUUACUGGGCGUAAAGAGUGUGUAGGCGGUGUUCCCAGUCUGUUGUGAACUCUCCCGGCUUAACUGGGAGGGUGCAGCGGAAACUAGAAUGCUAGAGGGUGGGAGAGGUAAGCGGAAUUCCUGGUGUAGCGGUGAAAUGCGUAGAUAUCAGGAGGAACACCUGUGGUGUAGACAGCUUACUGGACCACUUCUGACGCUGAGACACGAAAGCGUGGGUAGCAAACAGG